rnacentral:rRNA from 1 species
CGAGAAGCUAACCUCUGAUUCCUUCGGGAUGAUGAGGUUGGCAGAAAGUGGCGAACGGGUGAGUAACGCGUGGGUAAUCUACCCUGUUUAGUGGGGGAUAACCCUCCGAAAGGAGGCUUAAUACCGCAUAAGGUCUUCUCCUCAUUAAGAGAAGAAGAUUAAAGGUGGCCUCUAUACUAUGCUAUCGCUUCAGGAUGAGCCUGCGUCCUAUUAGUUAGUUGGUGGGGUAAUUGCCUACCAAGACCACAAUGGGUAGCCGGUCUGAGAGGAUGUACGGCCACACUGGGACUGAGAUACGGCCCAGACUC